rnacentral:tRNA from 1 species
ACCGGGGUAAGCAAACUGGCAAAGCUGCCGGCAUGAGAGGCCGGUGUCUGCGGGUUCGACUCCCGUCCCCGGUA